rnacentral:rRNA from 1 species
GACGAACGCUGGCGGCGUGCCUAAUACAUGCAAGUCGAGCGAGCGGAACUAACAGAUUUACUUCGGUAAUGACGUUAGGAAAGCGAGCGGCGGAUGGGUGAGUAACACGUGGGGAACCUGCCCCAUAGUCUGGGAUACCACUUGGAAACAGGUGCUAAUACCGGAUAAGAAAGCAGAUCGCAUGAUCAGCUUUUGAAAGGCGGCGUAAGCUGUCGCUAUGGGAUGGCCCCGCGGUGCAUUAGCUAGUUGGUAAGGUAAAGGCUUACCAAGGCGAUGAUGCAUAGCCGAGUUGAGAGACUGAUCGGCCACAUUGGGACUGAGACACGGACCAAACUCCUACGGGAGGCAGCAGUAGGGAAUCUUCCACAAUGGACGCAAGUCUGAUGGAGCAACGCCGCGUGAGUGAAGAAGGUUUUCGGAUCGUAAAGCUCUGUUGUUGGUGAAGAAGGAUAGAGGUAGUAACUGGCCUUUAUUUGACGGUAAUCAACCAGAAAGUCACGGCUAACUACGUG